rnacentral:rRNA from 1 species
CUGACCCCAUGCCGAACUCAGAAGUGAAACGCCGUAGCGCCGAUGGUAGUGUGGGGUCUCCCCAUGCGAGAGUAGGGAAGUGCCAGGC